rnacentral:rRNA from 1 species
AACGAACGCUGGCGGCAGGCCUAACACAUGCAAGUCGAGCGAGGACUUCGGUCCUAGCGGCGGACGGGUGAGUAACGCGUGGGAACGUGCCCUUUGCUUCGGAAUAGCCCUGGGAAACUGGGAGUAAUACCGGAUGAGCCCUUUGGGGGAAAGAUUUAUCGGCGAAGGAUCGGCCCGCGUUGGAUUAGGUAGUUGGUGGGGUAAUGGCCUACCAAGCCGACGAUCCAUAGCUGGUUUGAGAGGAUGAUCAGCCACACUGGGACUGAGACUCGGCCCAGACUCCUACGGGAGGCAGCAGUGGGGAAUCUUAGACAAUGGGGGAAACCCUGAUCUAGCCAUGCCGCGUGAGCGAUGAAGGCCUUAGGGUUGUAAAGCUCUUUCAGCUGGGAAGAUAAUGACGGUACCAGCAGAAGAAGCCCCGGCUAACUCCGUG